GCCCAGAUGGCGGAAUUGGUAGACGCGCUUGGUUCAGGUCCAAGUUCCAGCAGUGGUGUGUGAGUUCGAGUCUCGUUCUGGGCA
rnacentral:tRNA from 1 species